GACGAACGCUGGCGGCGUGCCUAAUACAUGCAAGUUGAGCGCUGAAGGUUGGUACUUGUACCGACUGGAUGAGCAGCGAACGGGUGAGUAACGCGUGUGGAAUCUGCCUUUGAGCGGGGGACAACAUUGGGAAACGAAUGCUAAUACCGCAUAAAAACUUUAAACACAAGUUUUAAGUUUGAAAGAUGCAAUUGCAUCACUCAAAGAUGAUCCCGCGUUGUAUUAGCUAGUUGGUGAGGUAAAGGCUCACCAAGGCGAUGAUACAUAGCCGACCUGAGAGGGUGAUCGGCCACAUUGGGACUGAGACACGGCCCAAACUCCUACGGGAGGCAGCAGUAGGGAAUCUUCGGCAAUGGACGAAAGUCUGACCGAGCAACGCCGCGUGAGUGAAGAAGGUUUUCGGAUCGUAAAACUCUGCUGGUAGAGAAGAACGUUGGUGAGAGUGGAAAGCUCAUCAAGUGACGGUAACUACCCAGAAAGGGACGGCUAACUACGUG
rnacentral:rRNA from 1 species